rnacentral:rRNA from 1 species
UGUGCCAGCCGCCGCGGUAAUACGUAGGGUGCGAGCGUUGUCCGGAAUUACUGGGCGUAAAGGGCUCGUAGGUGGUUUGUCGCGUCGUCUGUGAAAUUCCGGGGCUUAACUCCGGGCGUGCAGGCGAUACGGGCAUAACUUGAGUACUGUAGGGGUAACUGGAAUUCCUGGUGUAGCGGUGAAAUGCGCAGAUAUCAGGAGGAACACCGAUGGCGAAGGCAGGUUACUGGGCAGUUACUGACGCUGAGGAGCGAAAGCAUGGGUAGCGAACAGGAUUAGAUACCCUGGUAGUCAAGGGCG